rnacentral:misc_RNA from 1 species
GAUGAAGAACGUAGCGAAAUGCGAUAAGUAAUGUGAAUUGCAGAAUUCAGUGAAUCAUCGAAUCUUUGAACGCACCUUGCGCUCCUUGGUAUUCCGAGGAGCAUGCCUGUUUGAGUGUCAUUAAUAUAUCAACCUUCUCUUUUUUGAGCUGUUUGGAUGUGGGGGUUUGCUGGCCUCUUAAAUGAUUCAGCUCCCCUGAAAUGCAUUAGCAGAACAACCUGUUCAUUAGCGUGAUAAUUAUCUAUGCUAUUGAAUGUGAGGGCAGUUCAGCUUUCUAACCGUCCUUGGACAAUUCAUCAUUAAUGUGACCUCAAAUCAGGUAGGACUACCCGCUGAACUUAAGCAUAUCAAUAAGCGGAGGA